ACUGAUUUAAAUCGCAGCAGCCUGAAUGAAUAGCAGUCUCGGCCGAAUCGGGAACGCUUCCGGGUUCGGUUGUCGGCUGUCGCACGG